GACAAACGCUGGCGGCGUGCCUAAGACAUGCAAGUCGGACGGGGAGCGCAAGCUUCCAGUGGCGGACGGGUGAGGAGCGCGUGGAGAACCUGCCCCGGGGUGGGGGAUACCCUCCAGAAAUGGAGGUUAAGACCGCAUACGAUCCGCUGGCGAAGGCUGGUGGAGGAAAGCCGCAAGGCGCCCUGGGAGGGGUCCGCGUCGGAUUAGCUGGUUGGUGGGGUAACGGCUCACCAAGGCGACGAUCCGAGCUGGUCUGAGAGGACGGCCAGCCACACUGGGACUGAGACACGGCCCAGACUCCUACGGGAGGCAGCAGUUAGGGAAUUUUGACAAUGGGCGCAAGCCUGAUCGAGUGACGCCGCGUGCGGGAGGACGCCUUUUCGGGGUGUAAACCGCUUUUCUGGGGGACGAGCAAGGACGGUACCCCAGGAAGAAGUCUCGGCUAACUACGUGCCAGCCGCCGCCGUAAC
rnacentral:rRNA from 1 species